AAAACAUUUCAUGAAAGAGCAUAUUGGGUUACAGCAUCAGUUACAAUCAUAAAGCCAAAGCAAACACUAUGGUACAUGAUUUGUAAUAAAUGCAAAAAAUUCACAGGUGCUGAUGUGAUGCAAAUCAACCUUUCACUUGUAAUAUUUGCUUGAAAAAAGAAUGCCUGGCUAAACCAAGGGCUCGAAUUAUGGUUGAACUUCGUGAUCAAACAGGAACUUUAGAAGCCAUUAUGUUUGGUAAAAAUGCUGAAAUCUUCCUAACCUUUUCUGCAAGCACUUUGAUGAAUUACACCAUACAGGAAACAACAAACCUCUUACACAAAAUAAAUCAUGUAUCAACCAACACAAAAUAUUGCAUAUAUCUGAGAACAAUGAAAUCUGUGGUUAGUAAUAAAUCAGAUGUGCAGUAUAUUGUGACUACAUUCCUACCAAUAUCAACAAAGGAAACAAAAUCAGCUAUUGAAGGAGAAAUCAAAACAACUGAUAAAGAAUAAGCAAAACCAAUCAGUGAAUGCUCAACUGCUAAAGAAAGUACUUCUGAAGAGCAUCAUGAGUUCUUUGAUGCAUCAGCUACUGCUUUGGAUAGUAUUUCAGGAACUUCAAGCAGUGAAGUUAACAAUUAGCUUGCUACUUUAGUACUUGUAUAUAUGACUUUUUUGACUUUAUGUAUCACUUCACUGUAAGGUAGUUUUUGCAUUGUAUAGUUUUUGAAUUGGACUGCAAAAUAGGUUGCUAAAUAUGUCUAUUUUUGUCUCAAAUAGUCUUUGAGAAUGUAUAUAACAGUAAAAUUACCCUCUUGUUUUUUGCAAUUAUAUCAACCGUUCUAUAUGUUUUUUAUCUACAUAUUUACUGUAAUUUCUUCA